GUGGUUCUGGUAGCUCAGCUGGUUAGAGCAAAGGACUGCUUGAAAUCCUUCAGUGGUUCGAUUCCACCUCAGA
rnacentral:tRNA from 1 species